rnacentral:rRNA from 1 species
AUGAACGCUGGCAGCGUGCCUAAUACCUGCAAGUCGAGCGAACAGAUGAGGAGCUUGCUCCUCUGACGUUAGCGGCGGACGGGUGAGUAACACGUGGAUAACCUACCUAUAAGACUGGGAUAACUUCGGGAAACCGGAGCUAAUACCGGAUAAUAUAUUGAACCGCAUGGUUCAAUAGUGAAAGACGGUUUUGCUGUCACUUAUAGAUGGAUCCGCGCCGCAUUAGCUAGUUGGUAAGGUAACGGCUUACCAAGGCAACGAUGCGUAGCCGACCUGAGAGGGUGAUCGGCCACACUGGAACUGAGACACGGUCCAGACUCCUACGGGAGGCAGCAGUAGGGAAUCUUCCGCAAUGGGCGAAAGCCUGACGGAGCAACGCCGCGUGAGUGAUGAAGGUCUUCGGAUCGUAAAACUCUGUUAUUAGGGAAGAACAAAUGUGUAAGUAACUAUGCACGUCUUGACGGUACCUAAUCAGAAAGCCACGGCUAACUACGUG